rnacentral:tRNA from 1 species
GGGUCCAUAGCUCAGUGGUAGAGCAUUCGACUGCAGAUGGAGAGGUCACCGGUUCGAACCCGGUUGGGCCCU